GACGAACGCUGGCGGCGUGCUUAACACAUGCAAGUCGAACGGAAAGGCCCUGCUUUUGUGGGGUGCUCGAGUUGCGAACGGGUGAGUAACACGUGAGUAACCUGCCCUUGACUUUGGGAUAACUUCAGGAAACUGGGGCUAAUACCGGAUAGGAGCUCCUGCUGCAUGGUGGGGGUUGGAUAGUUUCGGCGGUUGGGGAUGGACUCGCGGCUUAUCAGCUUGUUGGUGGGGUAGUGGCUUACCAAGGCUUUGACGGGUAGCCGGCCUGCGAGGGUGACCGGCCACAUUGGGACUGAGAUAAGGCCCAGACUCCUACGGGAGGCAGCAGUGGGGAAUAUUGCACAAUGGGCGGAAGCCUGAUGCAGCAACGCCGCGUGCGGGAUGACGGCCUUCGGGUUGUAAUCCGCUUUCGCCUGUGACGAAGCGUGAGUGACGGUAAUGGGUAAAGAAGCACCGGCUAACUACGUG
rnacentral:rRNA from 1 species